AAAAAGAUAAACUCUGGGUUUCCGUGCCAAUGUUUGACUAUCCGUCUUAUAUGAAAUUUUUUUUAUAAUUAGUAUUUUCAUUAUUGUUAGAUGAUAAAACAUGAUUAAUACUUUACGCGUGACGUAUCUUUUUAACUUUUUUUUAUAAUUUUUUCAAAUAAGACGAACGGUCAAACGUUGGACACGGAAACCAGUGUUUGUCUUUUUU
rfam:Oryza sativa (indica cultivar-group) chromosome 8, whole genome shotgun sequence.